AGAGUUUGAUCCUGGCUCAGAACGAACGCUGGCGGCGUGCCUAACACAUGCAAGUCGAACGGAAUUGAGGGGCUUGCUCUUCAAUUUAGUGGCGCACGGGUGAGUAACGCGUAGAUAAUCUGCCUGACGAUCUGGGAUAACACUUCGAAAGAGGUGCUAAUACCGGAUAAGCCCACGGGGUCUUUGGACUCUGCGGGAAAAGGGGGGGACCUUCGGGCCUUCUGUCGUCAGAUGAGUCUGCGUACCAUUAGUUAGUUGGUGAGGUAACGGCUCACCAAGGCAGCGAUGUCUAGGGGUUCUGAGAGGAUUCACCCCCACACUGGUACUGAGACACGGACCAGACUCCUACGGGAGGCAGCAGUAAGGAAUAUUGGUCAAUGGACGCAAGUCUGAACCAGCCAUGCCGCGUGAAGGAAGACGGCCCUACGGGUUGUAAACUUCUUUUGUACGGGAAAAAACCACCGGUCGUGUAUCGGUGCUGAUGGUACCGUAAGAAUAAGCAUCGGCUAACUCCGUGCCAGCAGCCGCGGUAAUACGGAGGAUGCAAGCGUUAUCCGGAUUCAUUGGGUUUAAAGGGUGCGCAGGCGGAAUGAUAAGUCAGUGGUGAAAUCCUACAGCUCAACUGUAGAACUGCCAUUGAUACUGUUGUUCUUGAGUACACUUGGAGUGGGCGGAAUGUGUCAUGUAGCGGUGAAAUGCUUAGAUAUGACACAGAACACCGAUCGCGAAGGCAGCUCACUAAAUUGUAACUGACGCUCAGGCACGAAAGCGUGGGGAUCAAACAGGAUUAGAUACCCUGGUAGUCC
rnacentral:rRNA from 1 species